rnacentral:rRNA from 1 species
AGUCUGACGGAGCAACGCCGCGUGAACGAAGAAGGCCUUCGGGUCGUAAAGUUCUGUUGUUAGGGAAGAACAAGUACCAGAGUAACUGCUGGUACCUUGACGGUACCUAACCAGAAAGCCACGGCUAACUACGUGCCAGCAGCCGCGGUAAUACGUAGGUGGCAAGCGUUGUCCGGAAUUAUUGGGCGUAAAGCGCGCGCAGGUGGUUCCUUAAGUCUGAUGUGAAAGCCCACGGCUCAACCGUGGAGGGUCAUUGGAAACUGGGGAACUUGAGUGCAGAAGAGGAAAGUGGAAUUCCAAGUGUAGCGGUGAAAUGCGUAGAGAUUUGGAGGAACACCAGUGGCGAAGGCGACUUUCUGGUCUGUAACUGACACUGAGGCGCGAAAGCGUGGGGAGCAAACAGGAUUAGAUACCCUGGUAGUCCACGCCGUAAACGAUGAGUGCUAAGUGUUAGAGGGUUUCCGCCCUUUAGUGCUGCAGCUAACGCAUUAAGCACUCC